GUAGGUGAACCUGCGGAAGGAUCAUUACCACACCCUCAAAUACCCAGUUGUAAUCACUUUAGGGUGAUUAUAACUUGGUACGUCUCGUGAACCGUUACCAUAUUGGAAAGACCAUUUAUGGUUUUUAGUGGUCUUUCCGUUUAAUAUUUUGUUCCACUCUUCGAGUGCGAUCAACCUUUGAUAUAAAGACUUUAAGAAAAGAGAAAUAAAAAUCACUUUCAGCAACGGAUGUCUAGGUUCCCACAACGAUGAAGAACGCAGCGAAAUGCGAUACGUCAUGCGAAUUGCAGAAUCAAGUGAGUCAUCAAAAUUUUGAACGCAUCUUGCACUGCCUCGGCAGUAUGUCUGUUGGAGUGUCUGUAUUUACCCACAACUCCUAAUAGGAGUUUAGACGGUCUUCCGCGAUAUAAUUGCGUGGAAGACUCAGAUGUAAUCUGUUCGCCGUCUACUGUAGCAAGUUGACUCGUACGUCUGCACUUUAAUGUCAGAAAACUAGCAAGUUGCCUCGGGAAACAUGAACUUAAACUUUAAUCGGACCUCCAAUCA
rnacentral:sRNA from 1 species